CCCGGUGACAAUGGCGAGGAGGUAACACGCGUUCCCAUUCCGAACACGACCGUGAAGAGCCUCAGCGGCGAUGGUACUGUGGGGUAUUACCAUGGGAGAGUAGCACGUCGCCGGGA
rnacentral:rRNA from 1 species